AUGCAAGUCGAGCGGGCGUAGCAAUACGUCAGCGGCAGACGGGUGAGUAACGCGUGGGAACGUACCUUUUGGUUCGGAACAACCCAGGGAAACUUGGGCUAAUACCGGAUAAGCCCUUACGGGGAAAGAUUUAUCGCCGAAAGAUCGGCCCGCGUCUGAUUAGCUAGUUGGUGGGGUAAUGGCCCACCAAGGCGACGAUCAGUAGCUGGUCUGAGAGGAUGAUCAGCCACAUUGGGACUGAGACACGGCCCAAACUCCUACGGGAGGCAGCAGUGGGGAAUAUUGGACAAUGGGCGCAAGCCUGAUCCAGCCAUGCCGCGUGAGUGAUGAAGGCCCUAGGGUUGUAAAGCUCUUUUGUGCGGGAAGAUAAUGACGGUACCGCAAGAAUAAGCCCCGGCUAACUUCGUGCCAGCAGCCGCGGUAAUACGAAGGGGGCUAGCGUUGCUCGGAAUCACUGGGCGUAAAGGGUGCGUAGGCGGGUCUUUAAGUCAGGGGUGAAAUCCUGGAGCUCAACUCCAGAACUGCCUUUGAUACUGAAGAUCUUGAGUUCGGGAGAGGUGAGUGGAACUGCGAGUGUAGAGGUGAAAUUCGUAGAUAUUCGCAAGA
rnacentral:rRNA from 1 species